rnacentral:lncRNA from 1 species
UCAAUGGUCGAUUUUAAAUUUGCAACAUCCCAGGAAUUGUUGCCGACCCAUUCAUUUAUUUUGCACAUGCGGAAACGUAAACAAUCUCCAUACAACAAAACAGUGGGAUAGAAACGUAGGAUAUUAUUUUUCACAAACUACAACUACAACAUUAUCGUAUCUAUGUAAAUAGACCAGUUUAACACCCCCAAGGUUUGAUACAAAAGUGAAGCUAUUCGAUUAACCACUAACUAAGCUUCUAUUUAUAAAAUUGGGGUUUACUAUUACAAUACCAUACUUCUCAAUAUCUCGGGGGUGAGCUGUCACCCUACAUCCAGUCUUGACGGAAAAUCCGUCAUCACUUGGAAGGAGAUAGCGAGAAUCCUAUUCCUCCUUUACUGCGACCAACUGUACACGAUCCAGCCUUCCUCCAUUUAUGGACCUGAAAAAUGUUAGCCCACUAAGGGGUGAGAUCACAUCUCAGCGAGUAAAUCUCCUAAUUCCAGAUUAGGUGAAGGGUACAUCCAGCAUGCAAUCUAAUCACAUUUCUUACCACUCUUUUAACACCAGCAAGUUCCUGCAUAUUAGCAUCAAAUAAAAUAUUCCUAACAGUGUCAAGUUCACACAUCACAGGAAUACUUUAACAUAAGCAUAUGCAAGGUGUGAAUAUCCAUGUAAGCAUACAGGCCAUAGUCAAUGUAACAGAUAACAGUCUUCCGGCAAAACCGGGCAUCUCAUAUGUCACAAAUGAUGUUAAUGCUCAGAUAACAGUCUUCCGGUAUAACCGGGCAUCUCAUAUGUCACAAAUGAUGUUAAUGCUCAGAUAACAGUCUUCCGGUAUAACCGGGCAUCUCAUAUGUCACAAAUGAUGUUAAUGCUCAGAUAACAGUCUUCCGAUAUAACCGGGCAUCGCCUCACACCGUUGAGCGCGGCAACGUCUACAUCUAGACGGCAUUCCAAUUAAGGAGCAUCGGUCCAGCCUCCACUGCGACCGGCAUCCGUUGACGUGGGGCAUUCCCGAAGGAGCAUCGCCCGGCCUCAAAGGCUCGUGGCGGAAUCUCAUGUUGUGAAUGCAUAUGAUCAAUUUCACAUUUCAAUAAUCAAUUAUAUACAGCAUCCACAGAAUCAAUUGAGCACUUUCAUAGCAAGAAUUCUUCAAAACAAGUAUAUAUUCUUAUUCAUCCAAAUUGACAGAGAACUGCCCAAUAAUGCUCUCCCAAUUUCGAAGUCAGAAAGUCAUCCAUACGAUCUCGAAAAUUCUCAAAUUCGGAUACGUACUAGAAAACAUAUAAUCAAACAUUUUUCAUGAAGACACCGAGAUCCAGAUCUCUCUGGAUUCGGCCCAGAAAUUGUUUCUAUCCAGCACACUUUUCUGGUCCAGUUCCAGAGAGCCAAACCUAUCGAAAUCAGUUCGUUUUUGGGUCGAAACAUGCUUCGUUUGACUUGAAAUUUAAUUAUGUUAAACUAAAAGUUAUAAAAAACAACUUUCGUGAAGGAACCAAUUGAAAAUUCGACCUCUAAAGGUCAUUAACAUCCCUCAGAAUCAUAAUAGGUCACGGAUUACAAAACUGUCCGAUUAUUGUUCCGAGGAUGACGUCAUUAAAAUCGUCAUCUUUUUAAUUUAUAAAAAUUAAUAGAAAAAUAUAUGUUGUUAUUUAAGAUGUUCACAACGUUUCUUCAGAACAAAAUCCUUUCAAAAUCGCAACACAAAGUUGUCUACAAAAUUAGCAAAACAUACAUGUUCUAGAAACUGUUUCAGUAAUCAACUACUGUUCUAGUCCGAAUCUUCCACCACGACUUUUGUUUUGCUCUCUAAGCCUUAUCUAAGCUUUUCUAUGUCUAUCAUAACAUCCCUAACCAACAUCCAUCCAUAUCUAACAUCAUCUACAUAUUUUUAACUUGUACGAAUCCCUAAUAGAGGUACUCAACCCCUAGUCCAGAUUUAGAAGACAACUCACCUAAACACAGCUAACGGCGGCUCUCGUUGGUGGUUGAACAGCAACACAGAGACCAGCCUUGAUCCUCUUGGUGAUGGUGUUGAGCCGAAACCGCAGAAGAUUGUGAAGUGGUAUGAUGGCAACGGCAACACACAAACUUAUAAAUUUUUCGGUAGAGGAAACUAAGUAUGGAGUUUGGUCGUUCAAGAGGGAGCAAGAAUGGAAGUAGCACGUUCAGAAAAAAGAAAACAACGGCUUGUACGUUGAAAAAGACAAGGAAGAAGAAUAAACUAAGAGGAAGAAAGGGAAAGAUGGAAGCUGCCGUGUAAAUACAGCAGACAGACUUACAGCAGAAAACUUCUAUGCGUGAGGAAAAAGGUGGGGAAGGAGAGUGAAAGUUGC